rnacentral:sRNA from 1 species
UCUGUGGAGGUGGCGGCAGGUGCCACAGCUCGCCACGUGUGUGAAAUGCUGGUGCAGCGAGCUCACGCCUUGAGCGACGAGACCUGGGGGCUGGUGGAGUGCCACCCCCACCUAGCACUGGAGCGGGGUUUGGAGGACCACGAGUCCGUGGUGGAAGUGCAGGCUGCCUGGCCCGUGGGCGGAGAUAGCCGCUUCGUCUUCCGGAAAAACUUCGCCAAGUACGAACUGUUCAAGAGCUCCCCAGUGAGUGCAUGAGGGCUGUCUGGGCGCUGGGAUGCCCUGAUCCUCAACCUGGAUGCUGGAGCCCUGAACCCUGACACUUGUCUACCCACAGCACUCCCUGUUCCCAGAAAAAAUGGUCUCCAGCUGUCUCGAUGCACACACUGGUAUAUCCCAUGAAGACCUCAUCCAGGUGGGGGGACCCCCCAUUUCACUGCAUAUUCGCAACUCCCCAGCACUGGCCAGUGCUUCUCUGCCCUUAAGUCCUGUGCCUCCUCUCUAUGUGGUAGAAAGAGCCAAAUCACAGUCCUGUGUGACUGGGGACAAUCACUUUC